rnacentral:lncRNA from 1 species
CGGCGAUCGGCGGCGUUGAGGCGGGAUCCGGGCGAGCCGAGUGAAGACCUGGUCCUGUAGACGGGAAGGAGCCUGGACACAGUGACACAUUCUCAAAGGCCCUGCAGGACCACCAUGGCUUAUGAUGACUCCGUGAAGAAAGAAGAUUGUUUUGAUGGUGAUCAUACCUUUGAGGACAUAGGACUUGCAGCUGGCCGAAGCCAACGAGAGAAAAAACGUUCUUACAAAGAUUUUUUAAGGGAAGAGGAAGAAAUUGCUGCUCAGGUCAGGAAUUCUUCCAAGAAGAAGUUGAAGGUAAUGAACUUUACUUCUUGGGGACGGACACACACAAGAAGAAGAGGAAGCACUCCUCUGAUGAUUACUACUAUGGAGAUAUUUCGUCUUUGGAAUCGUCACAGAAGAAAAAGAAAAAGUCCAGCCCACAGUCUACUGAUACAGCUAUGGACCUGUUGAAAGCUAUCACUUCCCCACUGGCAGCAGGCUCCAAGCCCUCCAAAAAGACUGGGGAGAAAUCCUCUGGCUCUUCAAGCCAUUCGGAGAGUAAAAAGGAGCACCACAGGAAGAAAGUCAGUGGAAGCAGUGGGGAACUACCCCUAGAGGAUGGUGGCUCCCACAAAUCG